UGGUUAUUAAAUUGUGUGAAAUGCCUAUCUCUCCUCCCUCCCUCUGUAAACAGCUGCCUCAUUCACCUCCAGUCACAACACCAUGGGACAUACUGGGUUCCAGAGCAUCCUGCAAGGCGAGGUGCAACCUCCUGAGAAGCAGGUGGCUCUUGGGUUUGGUGGUUUCUCCCUGGAGUGGCAGGAGCACCAGCUGUGCUGAGCUGCUCUGAGCUCCAUCUGUCUCCAGCCGGCCUUUGGCAGUAAUCACAGGCUUUGGGACAUUCUGCUCUACCUGGACUCAGUUGUGGAACCUUCCCCUGGCCUAAGAUUUGCAUUCUUAGGGAUCUUCAGACAGGCAGGAAACAGUCGUGCCCACUUCGGAAUUGUUAAGAUCGACCACGUGGAUUUUGUGAGUGACACACGGCGCCUGUCCAGUACUCCCACAGCUGGUAGCUACCCGGCGGGGAUACAGACCUGCUACAAAUGAGACACACAGCACACCAGGCACUGGGCACAAUCAUCCCCGGGCUCCACUCUCGGAGACAGAGGAAGGAUGGAGACCCGUCAGAUACACAAAGAAGACCAGCCACGUGAGAAGGAAAUAGGAGAACAACUAACUCCGUAGGGAAAAUAAAUAGUUCAGAAAGCAGAAGAUAAUUCCUCAAAAUAUUAACUCGUGUCUUCGGAGAAAUGAAAGUUUUAGAGCCUGUAAUAAAAAAAAAAUAGAUGCUAUGAAAAAGCAAUUACACAGUAAAGACAGAGCUUCGAAGUUAAACAUGAUCGUUUGAAUAAAAAGGUUAAUAGGCUGG